GUGGAGUUGCUCUUAAGCACACGCAUACAUCCACACCCUCACAACACGCACAGGCUAUAGCCGCCAGCCUGCCGUGCGCCGCCUCCACGCCGCCGCCGACCAGCCACUGCCGCGCCGCCACAACCCGUCUCCGUGCCGCCUCCAGGCCGCCGCCGCGCCGGCCCAUGGCUGCCGUCCAGCAGCAUCUGAGGGGCCGCAGGGCUGCGGCGGCGGAGCAGGCGCAGCGGCCAAGGUAGCAGCAUCUCAACUGUGGUCCGGUGAGGAGCUUGUGGACCAUGGCGGCGGCGGCUCGGCAGCGGAUCGAGGUGGCACUCCUGCUGUCCUUCAGAUCUGCCUGGACAUCGUGAGGCGGCGGUGACAAUUUCUUAGCUCGGCUCCUCCCUCAUCGACGGCUUCAUGUAGGAACAAGCGCCACAACCAUUGCAGCGAUGCUCCGCCAUGAACAUGACCACUCCAAUUCAAGACCGUGCAGGAGGAUGGCACUCUGAUUUUCGUCGCCGCCGCCCGUUCAAUGAGGCGCUGUGCUCCCGAUGGCCAAAUUUUUUUUUCACCGCGCCGUUGUUUACCCUCCCUCCAUACCCGCCUGCCCAUUGGUCCUUCAGCGUGAUUUCCAGCCAUCACGCGGCACCUGCCCUUCCCGUCAAUCACGCCGCCUCCCCCUGACCCCCUCGCGACGCGCCUCCCCCCGACGCCGCCUCCUACCUCGCCCACGCUCGCCUCGCGCCCUCCCCUCCGUCCCCACGCCGCGGCCGCCGCUCUGUCCCCGGCCGCCUCUCCAUCACGGGCCGCCAAUCCUUGCCGUCCUGGCCGAUCUGCGCCGUCCCCGGCCGCCUCUCCGUCACGGGCCGCCACUCCUCGCCGUCCUGGCCGAUCUGCGCCGUCCCCGGCCGCCGACCGCGCCGCCCCCGGCCGUCAUCACCGUCGCCAGUGCGCCGCCCCCAGCUUCGCCAUCCGCGAUGUCAGCGCCGCCGCUCCGCCCCCGGCGUCGCCAUCCACGUCCAGCACCUGAUCCACCUUCUGUCCGCACCCUCGCCAUGAUUUGAAUGGCUGGAUAUUUCGAUUUGGUUUUCUUGUUGAUGAUUGUGGAGCGGAAAUUUGCUGGUGACCUGGCCAUUGGGGCAUCUUCAUCACGAGGAGUCGAGGAGCAGCCUCAUUGGGGCCGCCAUCAAGGCGCCCAAUAUCACAUCUAAGAAGCUCAUCAGCCAUCAGGCUAAAAAAGAAGAUGGUGGAUAAGGUUUGUGAUAAGCGUCAAGAUUCAAGAAGCAGCUUACAUUUGCUGAUGCUACUGCAGUUUGCGGCUCCUCCAUGUUCCUAGAUCUUGGCAUGAACUAAAUAUUAACAUGGGCUCUGUGACCUGGUGGGAUGUGCAACUGAAAUUUUCAGGGACAAAAGGGUGAGAACACAAGAAGUAGGAAGGGUACUGCAGAGAUUUUUAGGGAAAAAAACUGUCAAUUCAGGAAUUAAGAAGGGAAAAUCAUUAUAGUCAGGCUGCAAAGUACAUCGAGCACGAUAGCUCCUUCAGCGAGGAGAAACAAUCUAAAGCACUGAAGAUCAGUUGCAAGCUCAACUGCGUGGCGUGCAAGCUGAAGCUAAAAGAAUAAAGAGAAGCAGAGAAACUCUGCACAAAGUUCUGGAACUUUGGAGCACGGGUAUUAAGGCCCUGUAAAGAAGGGCGCAAGCCUACAGUGAACUUGUCGACCUGGAUCUGACAGAGCUGGAUAUCAAGAAAGCCCUCAAAAUUGAUCGUGAUAAUAGAUGUCAAGCUUGUGUACAAGACACUGAAGGAGAAGAUGAGAGAGUGCAACAUAAGGGAUGCCAAAUUCUACGACAACAUGUUUGCGAAAUGGAGGAAGCUGCAAGAGUAUUUGGAGCGGCAUGAUCGGGGGGGCAAACUGACGCAGACCUUGAUCCUGGUGUGGGUGACAUUCAGGACCAACAGGGAGAAAGAGUUAUGUUGAUUUAUUACCUAAAAAGAGAAUUGUGUUUUUUUAGGAUAAUAAUGAUUUGGAGGGCUCUGGUCAAAGCAAACAGAUCCAGAGACAAACUCCAUUCCUGAAAGGUAUUCGAUGAGUACAUGAACUUGGUCCUUGAUUAUGCUGAGAAAAUCAAUGUUAAGAAGAACACUAGGAAAUCAUUGGGUUAUAGAAAAGAGCUGAGAAAGGAUGGAAUAGUUUGCAUAAGCAAGCCUGCAAACCUGUAUUCUCAUUUGCUUACUGACAGUAGUUUACUGGAUUGAAUCAUUGACAAUGCAUGAAUACUUAUUUGUUCAUUUUAUUGCAAUAGCUCAAAGGUGGUAACAGAAACAUAGAAGUCUGUAUAUUACUUUCUUAUCUCUUUUGGCUGUUUCAAAAAUUGUAAUCAUGGAUGCAGAUCCGUGUCUGUAAAUAUAUUUUUUUAGCUCUUUUA